rnacentral:lncRNA from 1 species
ACAUUGAAGAAUACAGUAAUAAUCUACAGUUCAAAUAUAAGUGAUUCACUCUUAAUUUGAACUAAUGAACUAAGCCAAACUGAGUCCAAAAAAACUGUGUUGACCAAAAAAGUCAAACUCGACUCAAAAAUCAAACUAGACCAUGUUGAAUCAAUUCCCAUUCGGUUCUUACUAAAAAAAAAAAAAGGGUCUAAACUAAACUGGACUAGUUAUGUUAAGUUUAGUUAUUCAUUUAUGUCCAAAUUUAUUAUUAAGCCUAACUAAUAUUCAAAUCACAAUAAUAACCCCAAAUAAUAUCUAGAUACUUUAGCCCAAUUAAUAACCAAAUGUCUUAGUCCCAAUUUAUACCCAACUAAAUAACAACUCUAGUCUAACCCCACUUCUUUUUCUUUUUUGUUAACCAUAGUCGUUCUUCUUGUUGUGCUUCAGUCUUUUUCCACCUAUAUCUUUCUCCCUCUCUUCCUCUUUAUCUCUUCUACAUCUUUCUCUUAUUCCUAGUUUUCUCUUCUUUAAAUUUAUCUCUUCUCCCUCUCUUCCUCCUUUUCUCUUAUUCCAAAUCGGUCGAAUCAAACCAGAACCGCAUAGGUCCAGUUUGGUUUGGUUCCUGCAUACACUUUGUAUGAAAACUAAAUAGACUGUGUAUAAGUUUUGAUUUCAGUUCUAAUUUGAGGGGUAAACCGGACCAUGCCCAACCCUACCUGGAGGUGCAUUGGGCUGGAACCCACCCAAGGUAUUUGACCUAGAUGGUUAAGGUUUGGGCAAUAUCGGUGCAUAAUACAACAAUUGGUAUCCAAGUAUGGUUCGACUAUAGCCCAUCGGGAUAGUAGAGCACGACUCAAGGAAAUCCUAGAGACAGUUAGACCAGGUGGAGUAAGGCUCAGAUUCCAACAUAUAUAACAUUAGAGAAGCUAGCGACCAUGGCAACUAGAAAAUGACUGCCAUGAUUUCAGAAUCUUUGGAGAAGCAACAGUGCAAAUGCCAGAAUCGGGUAUGAAGUGGGGUAGGGACGGUCAGUUUGGAUCGGUUUACUUCUUGAAUUGAAUUGAAAUUGAAACUUAUACAGAGUUCGGUUCGGUAUGAUGUUCAUACAAAGUGUCUAAAUGAUGAUGUUUCAGCUCGGUUCGGCCGGUUUUUGGUUUGGAAUAAGAGAAAAAGGGCAAUAGGUGAAGAAGAUAGAAAUAGAAAGAAGUGAAAAUAGGAAGAAAAGAGAAAGUUGUAGAAGAGAUAAAGAGGAAGAUAAGGGGAAAGAAAGAGGUGGAAAAGAGGGAGAGACCGAAGCGCAACAAAAAGAACAACUAUGGUUCACAAAAAAGAAAAAGAAGUGGGGUUAGAGUUGUUAUUUAAUUUGGUAUAAGUUGGGACUAAGACAUUUGGGUAUUAAUUGAGCUAAAAUAUCUAGAUAUUACUUGAGGUUAAUUAGUAUUGUGAUUUGAAUAUUAAUUAGGCUUAAUAGUAAAUUUAAAUAUAAAUGAAUAACUACACUUAACUGGUCCAGUUCAUUUUAGAUCGAUUUUUACACGACAAGAAUCGAGACGAGAACCCAUUCAAUUCAGUCCAAUUUAUUUUUUUAGUCUAUAUUGACCUUUUUAGUCAACACGAUUAUUUCGGUUUUUUUCAACUCGAUGCGGCUAUGUCGGCUGGUAUGAACGCACGCCCCUAGUAUGAACGCACUAUCUGCAUGCUAUUUAAAAGUAAACAAGGAUUUUGGUGCAGAGAUUCAAUUCCCUCUUGCUUGCUGUCGAACCUAACUGUUGCCUUGAUGGACCUUUUUAUUACAAGUAUAUUUGUGGUUGGAUUAUUUUAUCCUAACUUUGUUUUGGUCAACCGGUUUGAUCUCCGCCUUUUUAUAAAGGACCUUUCUAAUAUUUGUCUUAGAAAACAAAAACUGGAAAUCAAGGUGCACAUGUGAUUCCUUAUGAAAAGCAAAAUGCUACUGUGAUCCAUAGGAAGCAUUUCCUAUAUGAAAAUUUUAGUCAAGCUAUUGCCAUUCUGAUUCUUAUUUCGACCUAACCCCACCAAAUAUUUUUGUUUUCAUUAUUAUUUUUCAAUAUAACUCCAGCCUUGUACCCAUAAUACCCCUAGAUUCUAACUUGAGUUUUUAUUUAUUUUGUUUUAACUUCACAGCCGCCAUGAUUGAAAGAUGACGCCCCUUGAAGGAGGAGCAGAUCACAGCCCUCACUGGCGUGCUCGCCCAAUCAACCACACCCAAUUGGGCUCCACUGAGGUACCUUAUAUAUUUUAGGGUUUUUAACUAUAUAGAAGUCUCUGAACUUUAAUCAAGUUUCAAUUGAGUUCCGGAACUUUUUUUCGAGACAAUUAGGUUAUUCAACUCCCUCGUUAGUUCUAAUUGAGUCAUUUCAUUACAAUUUCUGUUAGUUUUAAUCACAUGAGUGGCACAUAACUUGCUAUUUAGGGGUAAAUUCGACUUUUGGAAAGGGUUAAGCCAUUAGAGGCAAAAUUAGGGUGAUUCUAAUAGCUGGUACGUUUCCUGGGUUCCUCUUUUUCUUCUACAUAUUCUUCUUUUUUUCAUUUUCUUCUACUGUUAUUACUUUUUCCUCUUCUUGCAAAGUUCGUAUCCGUCUUCAGGUUGAGAUUGCUUUAGCUUGUUGGGCGUUGGUUCUUCUUCAUCACUAUCACUGAGGUUCUCUGGCAUAGGGUUCGGGCAAAUUAAUUACUUUUUUAAAAUUCUGUUUCAUAUUUUAAUGACAUCAAAUAACAAUUCUGUUUCAUAUUCCUGACACUCAGACAAAUCAUAAAUGUUAUUGGUUAAAUGAUCGUUGGCCAAUUUCCUAGAAUUUCUAGGCAGCCAAACAACCCCCAUAGCGACACAAAGCAUCACGCAAAUAGAGAAAAAAAAAAUUUAUCACAUUUCCAACAAAAUCCAUCAAACAAACCGCUCAAAAUCAUGUAACAGUAAUCUGCUCUACAAUUUCCCUCCUUUCCAUUGUUCUUAGAUGGUCUCUAACCAUUUCUGUUCUGUAGAAAUUAUUCUCUGGUAAAUGUAACACAUUGCAAGAGCCACAUCCACAACGAAAUAAAAUGAUCCCAAGCCACAUGCCAUGACAUGAAACGGUGAGGCCAGCCAAGAUAGAAUUUCCAAUAUAAUAAAUAAUAUGCAGGUACAACAUUUUCCAGGAAAAGAACAAGGACAUAGGCAAUGUAUCUACCUAAAAUAACUAUAAUGUAAUCGACUUGGCUACUAACCAAGCAAAAUAUAGAAGUCCAAACAUGCGCAAUGUAAACAAAAAAUCCCACCUACACGUCGGGCUAAGGGCAUAGAAACUGCUGCCGGCUUGAAACAAUAACCAAGCCUUUUGCCCAUUCCGCUCGUCUUCCGUCAUAGUCAGUCUGAGAAGACAUGGCUCAGAAAUAGUAAAAAGUACCCUCACUACAUUGUCUCAUACAAGUGUAAAGCAAGGCCAACAAAUGAACUACUACAAACUUUGAUGGAAGUGGGUGUCCGCCGCAGCCUCAUUCACCUAAACCAGCCUUAACCUUUAGGUGCCGCUUAAAGUCCAUAAUAUCGCCCUCCCACCGGGUCACAGCUUGAUUUUCACAUACCCAAAUUUCCUGAGCUACCUGGUUUAUGAGCCUGAAAUCAUGGCUAACAAGAACCAGACCCCCGUCCCACUCAUUCAGUGCCUCAGCCAGUGAGUCAAUUGUCUCGAUAUCCAAGUGAUUGGUUGGCUCAUCCAACAAAAGUAAUUGGGGCUGCCUAAAUGCCAACCAAGCAAAGAUCACACGGCUCCUCUGUCCAUCUGAUAAAUUCUUCAUUGCCAUCACCUGUGCCUUACCCGAUAGGCCAAACUUACCAAUUGCAGCCCUCAUCUUUUCUUCCUCAUUUCCUGGGUACUCUUUGAUCAUAUACGCAAGGGCAGACAGUUCCAUAUCAAGCUUCUCAGCCAAGUGCUGAUGGAACUGAGCAAUUCUAAGGUGAUUGUGCCUCCGGACCAUGCCAUCACUAGGGAACAACUCCCCUGUCAUCAGCUUCAACAGAGUACUCUUUCCAGCUCCAUUUGGCCCAACCAGAGCUAUACGCGAGUCCAAAUCAACCCCAAAGUCAAUGUUCUUAUAGAUCAGAUUAUCAGGAGUGUAACCAAAUGUGACUUCUACAAACUGAAGUACGGGCGGUGGCAGCUUUCCCACAUCAACAAAACGGAAGACUAGAACCUUGUCUCUGGCCACCUUUUCCGUAAGGCCACCGCGCUCCAUUUUUGCUAGGGUUUUCUCUUUGCUCUGUGCCUGACGAGCUAAUUUUGCUGACCCGUGCCCAAACCGAGCAAUAUAUUCCUUCAUGUUUGAAAUCUGUUCCUGCUCCCACUUAUACUGUUUCAUCUGGUUCUCCUCUAGUUCAGAACGGGUCUGAACAUACUGAUCAUAGUUUCCAGUGUAGAUCUUCAGUUUCUUGCUCUGCAUGUGGAUGAUGUUUGUGCACACACCAUUAAGAAAAUCCUGGGAGUGUGAAAUCACCACCAGGAUGCGCUCAAAGUUCUUCAAGGUCUCCUCCAACCACACACAGGCUUCUAAAUCUGUUACCAAAGGAAGACAACUAACCAUGAGUUUAAAGUCAUUGAAAUAUGCUGUCUUCACAUAAACAAAAGACAAGCACAUUAACAGAUGAAAUGAGUCAAACAGCUACAGCAGGACAACCAGUUCACAAACAUAUGUAAGACCAAAUUCAACUAAAUUCUUAAAAAUCAGUAGCAAUGUGAAAGUCAAACUAUAUAACAAAAUGAAUGUUGAUAACAAAAAGGACUGUACGGUAUAAUAUUCAGGAUCCAGAUAAUAUUUCAGAAAAAUUUCCUACCAACUGCCAGAAACUGGCUCCUAGGGCAGACUAUCAUUUGGCAGUACAGGGCAGGCCAUUUCAAAUAUCAGAAAUUGGCCCUGGAGCAAACUAUAAUUUGCAAAUAUAUGGUGGGCAAUUUCCAAGAUCUAAAACCACAAAUUUCUGCUCAAGCCAUUAAAAAGACAUGCAAAAAAAAAAAAAAAAAUUCUCAGAAGUUGGAACUAUCAAGCCAAGCAUAUCAUUAGAGUUUACAGAUUCCUAUUCCAUGCAUAUUAAGAAUGCAAUCAAAAUUAUAAAAAAAAAUUUGACAAAAUAACUAAAAUGUCAAACCAGUUAAAGUUUAAGCUUACCAAGAUGAUUGGUGGGCUCAUCGAGCAACAGGAUGGUUGGGUUUAUAAACAGAGCACGUGCAAGUGCAAUCCUCAUUCUCCAACCACCAGAAAAAUCCCGAGUUUUCUUUGCUUGCAUCUGCUUGUCAAAACCAAGACCAUAUAGAAUUUCAGCAGCACGCUUCUCUGCAGUUGCUGCAUCCAAUGCUUCAAGGCGCUCAUAAAUGCGUUCAAGCUGCUCUCCACCACCAUCAUCCUGAAAAAUGUAAAAGAAGUCAUAAGAAAUAUAUACUAAAGAAGCAAGCUGCCUAACAAAGCUCCCAUAAUUCACAUCUGAAAAUAAUUUCUUUGCUUUUCACUAUUCAAAAAAUUAGGAUUUGUUGGAGAUUUAAAAGUAGCUAUUUUAAUACGGCUAAAAAAUUCAUUGUAACACAGGGCUAAAAAACUACAAAUUUAAACUCGAUUCUCAUACUCUAUCUGUAUGCAGAACUUUUAGCUUUUAACUUUUACUCUAUGCAAAUUACUUUGUAUAAUCAAACACUGGUUUUUGUACUUCAGAGUUCUUUUAAAAUCAAAAAAGCAAAGUAUUCCUCAAGGUUGAAUUUAACUGUUAAUUCAAUCUAGCUUACCUGAGCUGCCAGUUCUUCAACUUCUUUCUCCAACCUUAUCCUCUCCUCAUCACAACUAAUGACAGCCUCAAGUGAAGACAUGUCUGAAGCUUCAAUCUCCCUGCUGAGAUGGUAGAUAUCCAUGUGAUCUGGAAUUGGAAGCUCUCGGCAGCCUAUUGCAGUUAGGAGGGUAGAUUUACCACACCCAUUCAAACCAAGCAAACCGUAACGUCUGAAAAGUAAGAAAAAAUACAGAAGUUUCAUAUAUACAUAUAAAAAAAUUAAUCCAAUUUUGAUUCUCUCAUAUUCGAAUGAAGCAUCUACAACAAACCUGCCAUAAUUAAGCUCCAGUUCAGAAUCAACUAUCAGAUCGUGUCCAUGGAAGGUAACUGUUAGAGACUCUAUCUGCAAUGAUCAGAAAGAAAAAAAUGUUAAUUCAUCACUACUACCAGCCAUUUCAAUUGGGAAAGUCUCCUAUAGAUGGAUUAAUCUACAACUUCAACCAUUAUAAGAAACUAAAACUAGACCAGAACUUUUAACAAACUAGGAUCAAGUUUUAAAAUUAUAAACACACCAUCAACAAGAGAACCUCCUGAUAGAGGGAUAGCAAAAACAACUACAUCCACAAAACAUUAAAACAAAUUUAUAAGAAUUUUACAUAUGCCUAAAACCUUGAAACAAAUUCUAUAAGAAUUUUACUAAAUAAAAUGAAAAUAUAAAAUAUAAAAGAAAAAAAACACUGAAUCUAACGGUUGGUGCUCUAACACAUUGUCUUCCCCCAUUCAACCAUAUUUACAGCUUAACCAAACUAACCCAUUUCUCCCACGCACCUAUCACGUGUGCUCACAGUUAUACCUAUAUGCAGAUACACAGUUAUAUCUUAUAUAGCAAAGAAAUAGGCUUGCAUUACUUUUUUGAAAGGAAAUAAAACAAAAUUAGCAAAUAUAUAGACCUGAAUGGAACGGCCACAGUGUUUUUAUAUUUUUCAAAAGGGAGACAAAGAUUCCUGAACAUGCUCUAUCAGAUAAUUCAUCCAGACCUAGAGUUUCCAGUAUAUAUUUUUUUAGUAAGAAAAACAGCUAUUACAUUACCCAAAACACAAAAGACGCGAACUUUAUGUAAACCAAAUAGGAAUUUAACAAGACAAAAUCAGAUGAAAAAUGUGAAAACGACAUCAUAUUCGUAUACACACCCGGAUAUCUCUAGACAGAGGAUGCGAACAGAGAACACCGGUGCAGUUACGAUCCGAAAUAUGCAUCGCCCCGACGCCAUUCGAUAGCUUAUCAGCUCCGUUCUGCGACUCGGUCGCAGCCGACUUCGACGACGCCGCCGCCUUUCCACCUCUCUUGGCCGCCGCCGCCGCCUUCUUCUGUGCCGCCUUCUUCUUGCUCGCGUCAGACACCAUCGUUAUCAAAAAUCAACCUGAAAAACCCCAAAAUCAUUAAAAUCAGAAAGUGAGACCAAUCUCAUAACAUAUAUAUACAUGUACAGAUUUAAAAGAUGAGAAAUUGGGGAUUUAGAUGGGAAGGGACCUGAGGAGAGAGAAGACGAUCGGCGAAGAGAGCGAGGGCGGUGGGUAUCAGAUCUGGGAUUGAGUUUUCAGGUGAAGGUGUACAGAUAUUGUUGUGCUGUCUCCGGUGAGAGAAGGAAAAACCCGGUGCGGUUGGGUUCGAGGUUUUCAGAAAAUGCGAGGUGUGGAUUUGAGAUUUUAUAAAGAGGGGAAGGAAGGAAGGAAGGAAGGAAGGAGGGUUAGGGUUGGGGUGGCUUUCCACGUGUUAUGGAGUUAGAGGCACUCUCCACACUAUGUGGGUUGGGUUGCGUAUGCGGUUGGGACUUGGUGUUUGAUUUUUCUAUCGGUGCAAACGGUGCCGUUUUUGAGUAGGAGAUAAAAGGACUGGGCAGAUAUUAUUGGAUUUCUAGGCCCAUAGAACAAACUUGAUUGAUUCCAUGAACAUCAUAAAUUGGUCUCUAGACACCCGUAUUUGGUGAUUGGGAUUGAAUUAACAUAGGGCUCGUUUGGUACACAGGACUGUCUUGACAUGGAUUAUGCUUAGGGACUGGCUUGGCUUGGUUUGGCUUGAUCUAAAUUGGAUAACACUUAUCCUACGUUUGGUGUAUGUUUGGACUAGGACUAGAAUUUUUUUUAUUUUUUCAAAAAUAUCUAUAUAUAUGUAUAUAUGUAUUUUAUAAUAUAUAAAAUAUAUAUGUAUAUAUACAUACAUAUAAUAUAUAUAUAGGUGUAUAUAUGUAUAUUAUAAUAUACAUGGGUAUAAUACAUAUACAUAUAUUUAUAUAUAUGUAUGUAUAUUAUAAUAUAUAAUAUAUAUGGGUAUGUUAUAAUAAUAAUAAUAUACGUGUAUAUACGUGUAUAUACGUAUAUUAUAUAUGUAUGUAUAUAUACAUAUACAUUAUAUAUAUUAUAAAAUACAUAUGUAUAUAUAUUAUAUAUUAUAAUAUACAUAUAUAUACGUAUAUACAUGUAUAUAAUAUAUGUGUAUAUAGGUGUAUCUAUAUAUUAUAAUAUAUAUAUGGGUAUGAUACAUAUAUAUAUGUAUGUAUAUUAUAAUAUAUAUAUAUACAUAUAGUAUAAAUAUAUAAUGUAUAUGUGUAUAUGUAUAUUAUAAUACAUACAUGGGUAUAAUAUAUAUAUACACAUAUAUGUAUAUAUACUUAUAUAUAUAUAUAUAUCUAUAUGUAUUUAUAUAUUAUAUAUGUAUAUAUGUGUUUAUAUAUAUACGUGUAUAUAUGUACAUUAAUAUACAAUAUAAUAUAUAUUACAUAUAUACAUGUAUACAUGUAUGCUAUUAUUAUAAUAUUAAUAUGUAUGUGUACAUGAGUAUAUUAUAAUAAUAAUAUAUGUGUAUACAUUUAUAUGUAUUUAUAUAUAUUAUAUAUGUAUAAUAAUAAUAAUAAUAAUAAUAAUAAUAAUAAUAAUAAUAGUAAUAUAUGUUAUUAGUAUUACAAUAUAAUAUAUGCAUCUUGUACAUUGGUGAACAUAGGACUAGCUAAUCCUCCCUUUCUACAUGGGCUUAGUAGUCCCCUCCUAAUGAGGUGUUUUUGGUGGGCCCGGUAUUAGCAAUCCCAUUUAAGACUAGAAUUAAAUGAAACAAACAUGGUACUAAAUUUAGUCCAAGCCAAGACUGUGUACCAAACGACCCCAUAUAGAAUUGGGUUUCAUUGGAUUAAAGACUCAAACUAAAACACACGGUUGAGUAUUUGUGAAUUGUAUUUCAUAUUUCUCCAUAAGGAGAAUAUAUAUAUACAUGUACAAGUUGAUUUUUUCUAUAAAAUAAGUAAUUAGUUAAUUACAAAGAAUCAUACUAGGUAACUACUCUAAUUAAGUAACAUGAAUCACACAAGGAAAUCAGCUCAUGCCAACAUUCCUCCUCAAAUUGGUGCUUAGAUAUCUCUCAUGCCCACACUGCAUGUGUUAAGACAUCUGUCAGCUAUUCUUCUGACCUUACAGACAGUAUAUCAAUUAGAUUUCCUACCAACUUCUCCUUGAUAAAAUGCUUAUCCACUUCAACAUGCUUAGUUAUGUCAUGUUUAACUGGAUUAUUUGUUAUCUUCGUAGAAGCUUGAUUGUCACAAUAAAGCUCUAUUAUUUUCUAUGGUUGAAAACCAAUUUCAGAAAGGAGCAUCCUUAGCCAAAGAAGCUCACAAACUCCUUGUGCCACACCUAUGUACUAUGCCUCAACUGCAUAUCAAGCCACUACAUUUUGCUUCUUACUAUGUCAUAUAACUAAAGUACCCCCAAUGAAAGUGAAGUAACGUGAUAUAGAACGUCUAUCUGUAAUAUUGCAAGGCCAAUCUGCAUAUGUAUAACCCUUGACAUCCAAAUGUUCUAGUUUUCUUAGUAUCAAGCCAUUUCCUAGUGCUUUCUUCAAAUAACUCAAAAUCCUCAUAACUGCUACUAAGUGAUCUUCACAAGGAGAAUGCAUGAACUGGCUAACAACACUAACCGCAUAUGCGAUGUUUGGUUGAGUGUGCGAAAGAUAAAUUAGUUUUCUCACUAACCUCUUAUAUCUCUCCUUGUUGGUUGGCACUUGAUCAAGAUAGAUUGCUAGGUGAUGAUUCUGCACAAUAGGGGUUUCGACUGGUGCACACCCUAACAUACCAGUCUCUAUCAACAAGUUUAGAACAUACUUUCUUUGAGAAAGACAAAUACUAGUAGCAGAAUGAGUCACUUUGAUUCCUAGAAAAUACUUUAAAGCCCCCAAGUCCUUCAUCUCAAACUCUAAAGCCCCCUAAGUCCUUACGUUUGAUAAAUAUGGUAUAAUUUGAAUUACCUUGGUGAUAUUCAUACUUCUUCAUUACUUCAGUAAACCUCCCAAACCAUGCACGCGAAAACUACUUCAAGCCAUAUAGAGCCUUUCGAAACCUACACACCUUCAUCUCAAACUCUAAAGCCCCCUAAGUCCUUACGUUUGAUAAAUAUGGUAUAAUUUGAAUUACCUUGGUGAUAUUCAUACUUCUUCAUUACUUCAAUAAACCUCCCAAACCAUGCACGCGAAAACUACUUCAAGCCAUAUAGAGCCUUUCGAAACCUACACACCUUCCCAAUAUUCUUAGACAGCUCAUAACUAGGUGGAAGGUCCACGUGCACCUCUUCUUCUAGAUCUCCAUGGAAAAAGACGUUCUUCACAUCAAAUUGCUUGAGAGGACAAUCUAAAUUAGUUGUUGAGGACAAUAAAACUGGCACCGUAUUCAUUUUCACCACUGGAGCAAAUGCAUCUUGGUAAUCAACUCUAUACGGUUGCAUAUACCCUUUGGCUACAAGUCUUGCUUUAUAUCUGUCAAUUGUCCCAUCAGGUUUGUGCUUAACUGUACACACCCUUCGACAUCCAACUAGUUUCUUUCGUUCAGGUUGCUGAACAAUUUCCCAUGUUCUAUACUUUUGUAUAGCCUCCACCUCCACAUUCAUUGCUUCUACUCAUUUUGGAUCUUGCAAAGCUUCUUCCAAUCUAUUAGGAAUUUUAAUUCCUUCCAUCUGAUUGACGAAUGCCUUAGCUUGAAGAGAUGAUAUGUGCGUAGAGACAUAAUGAGCAAUUGCAUAUUGCACUUUGCCUUCUGGUGAGAACCUGUUUGGUGGUAUUCUCAUGUUUGCUCUUAUAGAUAAUUUUUUCACAAAUUCAACAAUAUUUUGAUAAGUAUUAGGAUUCGAAAAACUUAACUCAGAGAUGUUCAGUAGAGCAUGAUCAGGUAUAUUAAUGUUCAAGAUAAGGCAUUGUUCAGUUCAGCAGUUGGGCUGCUCAAUUUAGCUAGGUUGGACAGUGCGACUCGGCUGAGCUGCCUAGCUCAACUGGCAGCUUGACUGGACCCUAUUCAGUCCCAAAAUCCUGCUCCUCUAUCCCCUUUAUUUCCACUUCAAACCAAUUUUGUGCUUCCCUUACUUCAUUCUCCCCUUGAAUGACAUGAUUUGGCACGUUAUAAAGAAAAAAAAAAUCUCAUUUUCCAUAAACAUAACAUCCAUAGUAACAUAAAACCGACGAGUAGAUGGGUGGUAACAUCGAUAACCCUUUUGUUGGGGGAAAACCCCACGAAUACACAACAGAAGGCACAUGGAUCCAACUUGAUCCUAUGAUUUUUACGGAGAUGGACAUACGCCACACAACCAAAAAUGCACGGAGUGAGAUUGAGAUGUGAACUGACAAGGACAUGAGCAGCCAAUGUUUGCAGCGGUGUUUUAAAAUCCAAAACACGUGAAGACAUACAGUUAAGAAUGUAGAUGACGUAUUGAAUAGCUUCGGCCCAAAGAGUUUGGGGAACACCCCCCCCCCAAAUAAGGAGAGCUUGGGCAGUCUCCAGAAUAUGGCUACUUUUGCGUUCAGCCACACGAUUCUAUUCAGGAGUUUGCAGAUAAGUAGUUUCAUAGAGAAUACCAUUUUUCAAUGAAGACAUCUGAGAGUGUGAGAUUAACAAAUUCUCCUCCAGUAUCCGAUCAAACAACUUUAAUCCAACGAGAAUAUUGAAUAUGAAUUAUCUUGUAAAAAUUCUUGAAUAAAGAACCAACUUCACUUUUAUGCUUCAUAACAGAAAGCCAUGUUAACCAAGUACAAUCAUAAAUGAAGAUCACGAACCAGGAAACACCAAAGACAGUAAUAAUCAAAGAUGGACCCCAAACAUCUGAAUGGAUUAAAUCAAAAGGAGUUGUGCUUUUAUUCAAACUAGGUGGAUAAAAAGUUUGGUGACUUUUUGCAAGAAUACAAGUCUCACACUGAAAAUCAGAAAUUUUUACUCCACUAAAUAAAGAUGGAAUCAAAUACUGCAAAUAACCAAAUGAAACAUAUCCCAAUCGUCAAUGUCAUAACCAAAGCUUCUUAUGCUUCUCACUAGUGAAGCCCCAAACUUGAUGAACACGACUCGGUACAAUGUCAUCAACAUAGUAAAAUCCCACUAUCUUAGUACCACGCCCAAUGAUCUCCCUGGUUUGAACAUCCUGAAGCAAACAAAAGGAAGAGAACAUGAGCACGCCUCAAUCUAAUUGUUCUGUAACUUGCCCAACAUAUAAUAAAUUAUGUGAUAAAGUAGAAACAAGUAAAGUUUUAUGUAAAGAGAGGGUAGGGGUAAGAGUAAUGGAACCAGCCCCAGUGACUGAGUUAGAUUGUCCAUUGUCAGUAACCACACUUGUUUUGGUAGGAGCAGUCAUAUAAUGGAAAUAUGAUUUAUCAUAGGUUAUAUGAUCAGUGGCACCAGAAUCAAUAAUCCAACAUGUGUCACGUUCAUAAAUCACCAAUGCUUUGCCUUGAUUACCGUCACAUUUAGCAUUUCUUCCUCCAUUGUCGUUCACAACUACCUUUAACUCUAGUGUUGUAGACGAAAAUCAAGAACACAUGUGGUUUAUGAUUCACUCUAAUUCUUAUUAGUUAUCUAUUUCAUCUCUUGAUUUAGAUUCAAAUAUUAAAUUUUUUCAGAAACAAAAGAAAAUUUACUGACCCAAAUUCGGAGCCAUCAAGCCAUCCGUUCACACUUUAACGUGAUUGAAUUUCAAGGACCCAUAACCAAGUCACUUUCAUGUUGUUCUUUGCCUUUGUAAUCAAUUUUCUGUUUAUAAAUGUUAGAUUUGAAUGAUUCUUGAACUCAGUUUGGGAAAACUUCACUUUUUUAUAAACAAAUUUUGGGUUUUUUUUGUUUUUUUUUUGUUUUUUUUUUGUUUUGCAAUUCAUGAACCCAGACUUGGAUUUCUGCAACUAUAUUGUAUUUUCAUGAAAGAUUCAUGUUUUCCUAUUCACUAGGCGUGAAGGAGAAAUAUGUCUGGUGUCAGAGACAACAAUCUUAGAUGCAAAUGAGUUUUUUGAUCAUGUUUUUCAUCUCUGUUAUUAAACUCUUCUUCUUUUUUUAAAUAGUUUUAAUAACCAAAAUAGUAUUUUACUGUAGUACAAGUAAAAUAAAAUAUGACAUAUUGAUAUUUAAACUAGUUUUUUUUCUCAACCCUUAGAUUAGAUCCAUGGUUAGGUAACCACAACUUUCUUGGACCAUAUCGUCUAGGAGAACAUGACUGGAUUCUUGAAACCAGAAACAGUACUUUAAUUAUAUUAACACACCCACCCCCUUAGAGCACUUUCACCCAUUUUCCAUGGCAAACGAAAAGGGUAAGGACAAGUGAGGGCGGUUAUUGUUCACUUGAAUAGUAUCUGCCCUAGUAAAAAAAAAUUUGUCCUUUUUACCUAUUGCCAUAGCAACUCAAAAGCAAUUACUAUUCAUAUGGGAUUAAUUUUAUUUAUAUAUAUGAAAUUAAUAAAUAAAAAUUUGCUAAGUAUGUAGUAUAUAUACUAAAAUUUGAAUUUUUUGUUGGUAAUUUUUCAGAAUUUGUUUCGAUUUUUUGCUGAUGUCAUCACUCUCAGACAGUAGCUCGGUCCAUCUUGUCUUGGGCCUUGCACGGGCUUAUGGACCCAGCUCUUGAGCGGGCUGGAUGUCACCGCAGGAGCUGAUUUUGGGAGUCCCUGUACCUUUUGCCUGGGCUGAGCUAUCCGCUGGAACUGCUCUUACGCCUAUCCAUUUAUCACGCAUCCCACCUCUUCGAAUCCAUUCGUCCAAAAAGUCCUCUCCGAACCCAAUAUCUUCCAAGAGACCAAGAAUCAAACGGGGGCUCAUCAGCCAUAGCACUCUCCCUCAUGUGCCCUCGAUUGCUCGUGUGAUGUCGGCGGUCAGAUAGUGUUCUGUAGCAGCGACGUCGUCUAUCAGGUACUGUUCUCUCCUCCGGAACUGAGUCGUUAAAUCUUUCGUUCCAGAUCGAAAUUCGUAGGGGGGUGAGCGAUUUACUGUUUGAGUUGAAGUUAGAAUCUGUAGUGUAGAGCCUUCUUUCUAGAGUUUGGAGGUUUGAUAGCAAGAGAUAAUGUCUAGCUGCUUGAAAAUUUUUUCGUAUUAUUGUUGUUACGCCUUUCUAGUGAAGCCAUUUGAUGGAUGAAUCCCUCUGAGAGUAUUGAUAUAGUUGCUUUGCCCUGUCUACAAUCAUCGACCCUGCUACAAAGAUAGUCUUACAACCACUGAGCACUAACAAUCAGUAUCCUUGUAAAGCUCUUGAGGUUGGGAGCAACUUAGCAUGCUUAAUUGUUUGAGGGUUGCAGUAAUGAUUGUUUUCUUGUGGGAGUGAGAGUCAAAAAUUAAGUGGGACUCAAACUGAUUGCUACCAAUUUUCUAUUGAGAUGCAUCUGAACUGAUAAUUCUGGGAACGUGGAUUUAUUUGCUCCUAUGUAUUGUGGCAAACAGGCCUACAACAAUGAACUGUUUAGCCAUAAGUCUUUGAAAGAUUUUGUAACGGUUGAGUUAAGGGUGUAGAAGCAAUAAGUCUUUGGUUGUACAUGUUUGACGAAAAGUGGGUUCAAGUUGCUACCAGUUUGAUGCAAGUGUAUUGUCACUGUGCUGUUAGCAGCUUAAAUGAAUAUUGGUUAGAACAUGCCGAAGGGGGAUAUUUAGGAUUAUAUCUCCACACCCUUCUGGGAGAGUUGAAUACCACAGCGUUAGUAUUUUCUUUUGGUACAUAAAUGUUUGUACUUCAUUUCUUCCUCAUAAUAUAGUUUCAUAUCCAACUGGCUUUUAUUAAUGUAUCUUAUCAAUAAAACAUCAGGACUGCCUAGGAAUGACGGUUGUGAAGCGGUAUGUACUGCGUCUGUUCAUAUCCUUGAAGUACAUUACAGCAAACGUGGUGGACAGAAACAAUGGCCGGAUUGUUACAUCAGCAUCUACAGUUGAACAUUCAAUCAAGGGCUCGCUUGAGUGUGGUCGGUCUUGCAAUGCAAAGGCAGCGUCAGUUGUUGGAGAGGUGUUGGCUAAGAGACUCAAGGUGGAUGGUCUUGACCAGGGGCAGGGACGAGGGAUUCACGUUAAUGUAAAUAAUGAACUUGAGAAGAAGGGUUUUAAGAACCGCACCAAGAUUUGGGCCAUUGUCAAUGCUCUUAAGAACAAUGGAGUCAAACUCGUUCUUGAUGAUAACGAUGAAAAUACAUCUCGACCAAGUUACUAAUAAGAAAUCUCUUGUUUGCACUCCUUGUGUCUAAAUGCUGAACUAUACAUUUCUUAUGACAGAGUAAGGAGGAGGCAAUGAGCUCCUUUUAUUGCUCACACCAGCAAAUUAUACUGCAUUGCAUUCGUGCAAAACCAGAACCACUUGGAAAUUGUCUGUACAUAGCCAUAGAAACAGCUCAUAAACUCUGUGUCAUUUUAAUGUUUGCUUCCUCUCAUCUUUUUUACAGAAAAUUAUUAAAACCAGUUUGUUCUUUCCAACUUCUUCCCACUUCCGUUUAGCUGUUGAACAAGUGAGGGUGCUGAAUAUAGAGAAAAUGUUCUUAUAGCUGGAUUGAAUUGGCCACUAUAAUCGAAAACAUGGAACGGUUUAAUUUUGCUCGGGUUUCCAAAUGCUUCUAAUGCAAGUCUUAUAAUGGCAUUCUCUAGCUUGGGGGCUGCUACCAAGAAACUGUAAGGAUAGAUAACUCGCCCAAGGCAAUGGGCUUAUAGAUGAAGUGGUUAACAUUAUUUAUCUUUGCAUCCGAGUCCUAGGUUCGAUUACCCUCCUCCUCAAUAUGGCUUCUAUUUUUUUAUUUUUUUAUUAAAAUGAUAACUCGCCUAAGAAGAGCUACCUUGCCCCUUGGGACCAUUAUCCCAUUAUGGAGAGACCUUUUAUUCUUGUCAACGCAAUUGGUUCAAGUAUUCAAAGUCUAUACCAAAAACAUUAUUCGUAGUCGGGUUGAACUUGGGCUAGAAGUUUGAGGUGAUAUUGGCAACUACCCUUUACCAACAAAUCCCUGGGGAUCUUCGUAUGACAAGUGACAAGGGGUCUCUUUCUUGUGUGGUGGAUGAUCAUUCUGUUAAAUAAGGAGAAAUUGCAAAUAUAAUUACAUAUGAGCCAUAUAUGCUUCACCUGAAAAUUUAAUAUUAUCCAUUGCCAUGAAAUUCCCUUAUUUCUUUAGUCAAUUUUUUAUUUUUUGUGGGGUUCUUGGGGAGGACUUUUACCAACUUUAAAAAGCUUAACUGUCGGUAUGUUGAUGAAAAUCAAUUUGAUUUUACCUUCGUAUCUAGAGGACAAGAUAUCUUCUGUCAAAUGGUCACAUUUAGGUUCAGCAAUUAAGAAAAACCAAAACUAGCAGUACCAUCAAAAUGCAUUAGGUGUUUGGAAAUUGAUAAUGAAGGAAGUUUGCUUUUAUCUGAACAGAAACACUUUUUUGUUUUUUCUUAUUCCGUUUUUUCGAUAAUUGGUAACGUCGUUUUACUAGACAUCAAUAUGAUCAUACAUUUAAAUACAAACCCACCUAAUUCAAUUUGAUAGUCUAAUGAAGGGUCCUUUUUUUCUAACCAUGCAAUUAUAUGGAAAGGAAAAAAGUGUAAGAGAACUUUGAAAUUUGGCUACAAAAGAAAAGACUCCUUUCUCAUGUCAUGGUUUUACUUUUCUAAAGCAUUCAAUUGCACAACCGCUAUCUACAAAGAGAGCUAGUAUAUUCAUUAAGCCUACUUUCUGUCCCUCAAAUGAUGUGAUCAAGUGUGAAGAUUAAAGAAAAUUGAGCCAUCUUUUUUUGUCUUUGAACUCUUAAGAGAGAUUAGCAUCUCAUCUAAUGAUGACUACCCUUUGGGUCUUGCUCAAUAAUUUUAAUUUGAGGAUAAAAAUAUCAAUAUGGCAAAAGGGAUAAGCUUCUUUUCCUUGACAACUUUCUGUAUUUUUACCCUUGAGACUUUGCUCUUUUGAAAUGGGUUCCAUCAUAAAGAAAGACUUUAUUUUCUUGACCUAAUUGCCUCAAAAACCAAGGCCAUAUUAACUUGGAACUUUCCUGCUAACUAAAAUCUAGAGAUCAAAUCAAAUUUAUUUUUGCUUUAAAAAAAAAAUUAUUUAAGCCAAAAUCAAGAGGUCGAGGCUAGGAAAGUUUUGAUGCCCAUGAAAUAAUUAAGGUUUGCAUGCAUAUGGCUAACUUUUAGAGAGUUUAAACUCUAGAACACCCUCAUUAUGUCCUUGCUCAAUGUUUUUGGACACACCAAGGAGCUUGUUCUUUGGCCUCAAGCCUUCAUCAUGAGCAACGUAUGCAUGAUUCCAUUGGUAAACUGAAUUUUAAUCAUGAAUGGCUUUUCCAAUAUUGCUGAAAACAAUUGACAAAACAAUUGAUUCAACCAAUGAAAACGAUAUGAACCUGCUUUUUAGAUAUUUUCUGCAACUAUUUGCACCACACAAUUCAGAUCAUAUGUCUUCUUGCGUUGCAUAGAUGUGAUAGGAGAAAGUAUUUAGUAUUUACACCAUGUAUAUAUCAUGAUGAUUUGGUGAGUCACAUUCACUGAAUUUUACCAAUUACUGACCGAAUUAGUACCCAUUUGAACUUUACCAAAACAAAAUAUUAAAUUUUUGAUCGAUUUAGCAAAGACUUAACUAUACAAAGUGAUUGUCGCUUUUCUGAAAAGGAAAAUUUCUAUGAGUAUCAUACUCCAAUGUAACAUAUAUCAUCUUUUGACCAAUAUAUAUAACGGAUUCUAUUCUUUUUUUCUCCGAGAGUAUAGAAUGAUAAGUUGAAUACCUGUAAUAUGGUAGAAAACACUACUCUAUAGAGAUAGCGAAAAACAUAUUCAAUAACUGUGUAGCUGUAAGCCUUACUAAAAAAGAAGCCUAUAUGUCUAAUAUUUGUAGAAGUAGAAAGAGCACUUGCCUUUUCUAAUAAGGCAAUGGGAGAAUACCCCAUGAAAAAGACUUAUCUAUCACAAAUCACUCUCCACCUUUAACCCUUUUGACACACCCUACCAAUACUCACAUGGGCUUGAGCUCAUGCAAUCAUCACAUCCUAUGAAAGAAGAUUCCAAGAAAACCCUUUGAUCACAUGCAUUUGCAAUUGGUAUUUUGAAUAAUACCCAUUUCUUAAAUUGUGAAUUAAAUUAAUACUCAUAUACAUAUAUAUAUUAGAAGAAAUUAUUUUCUCAAUGAGGUUGACUUGUGCUUGUGAGGUAGUUGAGUUGGUAGAAUAUUCAUAUUCUCUUCUUGUAUUUAUUUCCCUCAAUUCUUUUGGUUUACUGACCGACAUAUAUGUCAGAUUGAUACAGAAAUUUUGAAAUUUUGAUGCAAAACCAAAAAAAAGAGAGCAUAAUUUGGGUUGAAAAUUUAGAGAAAAAACGUUUUGUGUUCUUUUCCUUUGUCCUCUUUUUGCCCACGUAAGCUUUAGGGAAAGUUCAUAUCUCUUUCUCAGAGGCGGACAAAAUUGAGGGCAUGGUUAUCAUCAUCACCAUCAUCAUGGGAUGGUAUGUUGCAUCAUAAUGUAAAGAUGAUCAUGCACGAUGGGUUGAUGGUAACAUGCAUAACAUAACACGCACAUGAUAUGAUGAAUGUUCCGCUCAUCCUUAUCAAAAAUUUUACAGGGUCAUGUUAAUGCAAGCUCGUGUGUGCUUUCUACACUUGCAACUUGCAUGAGUGGUACGCUAAUUAAUGCUCUCCUUUUUAGUAGAAAAUAUUCAGAAAAUAAUAAUAAUGUCAUCCUUUUGGUUAGUGUAUUACUUUAAUUACCAAAGAAAAAAGUUAUGCAUUAAACAAAGAGAAAUUCCUUUGUUUAUGAAAAACCAAAAUUAAUUGUAUUCACCAGAGUCUACAACCUUUUGAACCCGAUUAAUUAUAAUUCUCCUGACUACUGAUCCACAUAAAUUCCCUCAACUUGAAAAUAGUUUAAUUAAGAAGAAAUAGUGAAACCUAUAUUUGGAGAAAUAUUUUUAUUUUUAUUUAAUAAUAUUAUUUGUAUCACAUUUUUUUUUAAAAAAAGAUUGUAUUUCAUUCAACCGAAAUGAACAUUACAUGGUAAGAACUAGUAUGUUAACGGCGGUCUCGUUAAAACCUUCUUAGAGAAAACAAAACCCCGGGGUAGGAAAGAGUACCACCCAUACUAUUGAAUAAAUAAAAAAGUCAAACAACUUAUACGAAACAGACAAAUCUAAAAUCCAACCACAAAACCCUUAAAACAACAUCUCAUCACUACGUAGGUACUAUCAAAGAAGUCCUCCUAUGAUAUAGAGAAAGCAUUAUAGUUCUUUGUACAGACUCAAAAACGUAUUAUGGGUAUCAGAAUAGAUCCAGCCAAUCACCCAACCACAAAACCAUUGAAACACAUUCCAUCACUACGAAGUCAUAGUUCUUCGUACAAAGUCAAAAAUGCAUUAUAAGCAUCAUAACAAUCCAGCAAAACACCAACCGCCACCUCCAAUUUUCUUGAUCUGAAACCCCAGUUGACAAGCAAGGGAGACCAAGAUUGACCUUUUAGCCUGAAGAAAGAUCUUCAUAGUAGGAACGUUCAUCGAUUGCCAAGCCCACGAACGUUUCAUAGGAGAAUUAAUAGGGAGACCUUGGAGACCCCUCGAGGCUGGUCUCCUUCGCCUUAUCAACAAAAUCCUCGAUACAAAAACUACGCUUACCAGAAAAAGCCAUGCCACUAACCAUCAGAUACCUAACACCAGUUUUCGCAUGCUUUUGAUUCUCGCUUGGUGCCGUGUACUUGUCAUUUCCUUGAGCAAAAAAGGUUGUGGUCACCUCCAUAGCGUUAAGAUGGAGACCCAUCACGAACGACUGCAUCCUUAGGAACCCAGAAAGGAAGUUGGUGCAUCUACCCCGCGGAGACCAAAAGAGCAAAAAAAGAUCGUACACAAUACAUCAAGAAGAACCCAGAGAGACAAUUAGAGAAGACUGAAAGAGACGGAGCAGAAAAUGAAUAAAGAAAAUUGAAGAAACCCUAAUCCUAACCUUCAAGGCUCUCUUCGCAUGAAUGAGAGAGCGACUUGUAUCACAUUUAUUGAUUAUGUUGCUAGCUACUUCUAUAAUAAAGAUGGAUCUCACCAAUCUACGUAGGUUCCACCUAUAUUAGAAAUAUAGUUAACAAUGUAGUAGUAAAUAUGAUACAAAUAGAAGCACCUACCCUUUUUUUAUUAUUAGCAAUGUUAAAUGUUGGCUAUUUGAGAAUUCAACAUUCUACUUCUUUUCGGUAGAGGCGGUGCAAUUCCAUAAGAAAAGGUUAAAGCUUCAUUCUUUUUUCUCCACCAUUUGUUAGUUUUUUGUUUUUGUUUUUUUUUUUUUUGAGUAAACAACCUUUGUUAACUCUAGAAGAGAAAGAAAGAAAUGAAAAAUGAAAAAGGAAAAAGGAAAAAGCAAGGCUUGCUUUAGUUAUUUAUUUAUUUUAUUUUGGGGGCAAAAAGAAGGGCUGCUUUGUUGGGUAAGUUUGGUUUUGCGGGCAGAGUGCGUCCGUUGUGAUGUGUAGUGUUCCCCACAGGGUUUAAGGGUACACCACCUACUAGCGACAUACAUACCUUCCAGGAAAAAUACUUCUUGCUUUUUUAUUAGAAAAAAAUAUUCUUCUUUUUUUGAUAUAUACACAAAAUUAAUUUAUUAAAAAUAUAGAAAAUAUUUGUACCCAUUUGUCAUAGAGGAAUGUUAGCAACCUUCUCUCUAACCUUCUUUUUUGGACCUUCUCUCUUCUCUUUAUGACAAGUGUCAUUUUCCUUACACUUAAAACAAUGCCAUUAAUGCAUCACAUAAUUUAGUUUUUGUUUUCCAAGUUUACCCUUUUAAAAUGUAUUGGCUUUUAUAUUUCCUUCAAUUUAUUCAAAUUUUGUUAUAACUUCUUUAGCACAUUGUUAAAAAAUAAAUAAUAAUAAAUAAAUAAAGUCAUAUUUAAAAACAAUAAAAAUAAAGUUUGUUUCAUAACAUUGUUAUCAUCUUUAUUUUGUUUUUAACAAAAUACUCGUUCUCUUUGAAAAAAUUAAAAAUUAAAAAAAAAAACUUCAGUUUUUAUUUUCUUAUUUAAUUUUUAACAAUGUGGUAAGAAAGUUAUAAAAAAAAAAUUAGUUUGUUUUUAAAAAAAAUAUAUAUUUAAUAAGGGUAAAUUUAGAAAACAAAAAUUAAUUUGUGUGAUGCAUUAAUGACAUUGUUUUUAAUGUAAGAAAAGUAACAUUUAUCAUGAAAAAAAGGAAGAAGUUCAGAGAAAAAGUUACUAACACUUCCUUUUUUCAUAUUGCCAAUACAGAGGAAGGAGGGAAGUGUUUUCGUUCUCGGAAAUGGUGUGUGGCCAUUUGGCUCAUGGCUUGUGGCUGGUCCUAUAUGGCAGUACUAUGUAGGACAUAGGUCAGCCCUUAGGUAGCUAGUCCUUAUUUGACACGGCAGUAAGUGAGGAAAUGAAUGUGCGCUCAAAACUCCUGCCUGCCAGCUCACUAGACAAAGGACACCUAAUGAGACACAUAGACACACCUAUUCAAAAUUCAAAACUCUUAAAAGUCUCCUUUCCCAUGGAAUCAUGGUCAUGACUCUCACAUAUCAAAUAAUUUGUGGGUCCCCAUCCCAUGCUACGAGUCUAUGACCCACCCCACAACUCAUUAGUCAUUUCUAGGAAUGUGAAAGAAUAUCACUGUUAAUCGUUGAUGCACGCACACGGACAAAUAUUUUACCGUUCAUGUAUUGUAGACUUCAUAUAUAUAUAUAUAUAUAUAUAAUUUAAAAAUAAGAAAUCGUCAUUGACCUUAUCACUACUCGUAGGAAUAAUUGUCCAUAUGAGCAUUUCCAAAUCUUGAUUAUUGAUGCACUUACGAGCCACCACAUGCAUUAAGGAUCAAAAAUGUAUAAUUAGCUCUAUAUGUACCAAUUGAAGGUAAUUGAGGUUUUACUCCAAAAUCAAUUGGUAAUGAAAAGAAUAGUCUAACUCCUUAUAAGUCAUUGCUAAGUUUCUUAAAUUUUCAAUAUGAAACUCUUUAUUUUCAUAUUUUUACAUCAAUGAUUAAAAAUGCACGAUAAAUAUUAAGUUUAUAAAAAUAAUCGAACGAGAUUAAAUCUGGAUCGUUGAUGUGUUGUGAAUCCCAAAAGAGCAAAUGACCUUGACUCCUGUCAUUGAAAUAGUUGUGACUUGUGAGUCGCUGCUCCCAAAUAAUUUCCAAGUGGCCAUUGGUCUGAUCAUGGUCAUCGGUUAUUGUGUGCAGUGGUCGCUCUGCAGCCCAAUAGUACUACUCCUAGUCAUGUACAGAUUAUAGACUUGAUACGUGUUAAAUGUGUUAUGGUAUGGACACAGACUCCAGACAGCUUUUCGAAAUUGGAAAACAUUUUAUUAUUAUUAUUAUUAUUAUUUUUUAAAUUGGACAAUAUUAAUUGGACGGAGGGAAUGUUGAUUGCACAGUCGCGUCGUAGGCACCCAGAAACGUGCACGACACAGAAAGCAGGCUAUCAAUUCAACUAUUUAUUUUUACCAUUCACAUUCAAUUUUAAUUCAUUAAUGUCUUUUAAUUACCACUAUUUAAUUAACUCAAUCCUGGAAACUUCAUUAAUGAGAUUAAGACAUCUUUACUACAUUAAUUAAUAUUUCAAUACCUUGUCAUUGUGCAUGUAUUAAUUAUUUAUUCUCAUCAAUUCUGGAUACGUAGUUGGAUUGAGUAGAGCCAUCAAAUUUUAUUUAAUAUAAAUUUAAAUCAAGAAAAAGAAUUGCAUUGAGCCAUCAAAUUUAUUUAAUACAGUGUUUCUUUUAAGAAAAUAAUUAGGUACACACGUGGAUUUUAAAAAGCAAAAUAGUGCAUAUCAAAGUUGUAAUCCUCACCUAAAAAUGAUUAAUUGGUUCCGUCAUCACGAGGAUGUCGCAUAGGACCAAAUUCACUGCUAUUAUAAUUGAAAAUUGGAACCACAUAAUGCUUUGGAGUAGCAUAUUCAACAACUUUGACCUCAAAUGUAAUACUAGAAUAUUCAAGAACACAAAACCUAUAUAGUAGAAUAUGAUUAAACUAAUUUUGUAUUAAGAUUUCGAAAUUAAGAAUCUUCUAGAUCAUUUAUUUAGUGUAAGGUAAAUGAUUUGAGUGUGACAUUAGUGAUAUGUCCUUGUCCAAGUGGUUGUACAUCACUAAUAAGCCAAACCUCACAGCACACUUAAAACAUUUUUCCCCAUCUUUGGUGCCUCACUCUCACCAGAUGUGGAGUGCUUAACUGUUAAUCCCACCCUGCCACUUGCAUAUUAAAAUAUUAAACCAUGUUAUAUUUACCGUUCUUGAAUUUAAACUGCACAUUCAAACAAAAAUCUAAAAACACGGGACGUUUAGAUAACAACCGAACUUAAUUAUCAAAAAGCGUUUUUAACCAAAACAGCAUUAAUAUCACUAACCAAAUCACAACAACAAAACAAAUAGUAGUUUCAUGACAAGAAACACAAAGGAAACCCAAAAUGACCAUUUUGAUUUUUCUAAUAGCUAGAGCCCCGGGUCAAAUAUGGAUGAACCCGACCCCCCUGAGAUUUCUCAUAUCUAAACCUGUCUAUUCUCUUAUUUACAGUUUUUUUUUUUCUUUUCUUCUGAGAUUUUCUAAGUCAACUCUAUCAUCUUCUUCCUUGAUUGACCAUUCUCACAUUAUGGAGCAAGCAUUUGGGUUCUCAUCGCUGAACAUCUGAGGUGCAUGAAGUGGGUUCCCUAUGUAAGGAGCUUGAGGAGGCAGAGUUUGAGGAGGCAGAGCAUGAGGCGGGUACCCGUAUCCUGCGCCGAAUCCAGGUCCAUAUACCAUUCCAUAUGGAACUUGUCCGAAUCCCGGUAGACCCGCUGGAUACUCCAUUUUGUGCCCCUCCAUUUUUCCACCACCAUUGCCCCCCUCUUCCUCCUUUUUCUUCUUAUCUCCACCGCCGCCGCCGCCGCCGUUGUUUUCGCCUUUCUCCUUCUCCUUCUCCUUCUUUGGUGGCACAAUGUCAACAGGCCUCUUGAGCUUCUCCUUCAAAGUCUCAGCCAAUUCCUUCAUGUCCAUUGAGCCCUUCACCGUCACCAAAUCCUUCUGCCUAUCAAUGGUCAUAUCAUGGAACCCUGCCACGUCACCCUUGUCAAAAAACUUGCGAACAAUUCAUCAUGACAAAAACGACGCCGUUAGCUAAAAACUGAUUAGUGGAGGAAUUGAUAACCUCACCUUUGGUCUUGCUCACAGUCUUCUGAAUCUUCCCGAUGCAUCCCUGGCAGUGCAAGCUCAGCUUGAGAACCGCCGUCGUCACCGGAGCCUACACAAACCCAUGACCCGUUUAAUUAAUAAAAUCAAAUAAAUAAAUAAAUAAAAUCUGAGGCAGGUGCGUAGAACAAGACAGGCGCACGUUAAGGGAAGGGGGAGGGGGGGACCAGUGAGCAGACGACACACACCUCUUUGGGUUUUUUGUUGUCGUCGUUUGCUUUCUCAGGCUGGUUUUUCUUGGCGUCGUCUUUGUUGUCCUUUUUGGGCUGGGGAGAGAUGAGGUCGACUUUCUUCUUGGUCUUGGCGGCCAGCUUGUCUUUGAGCUGUGUGGGGUCCACGUUUCCGACCACCGUCAGCUUAUUCGCCUGGAACUCAGAUUUCACCGACUCCACGCCUACGUUUCAUUGCGUAACACACAGCUUAAAACCCAACCCAGAAAUUAAACCAAACAAAUAAGAAAAAUGAAAUGAAUCUGGUUUUGGAUGAGAUUCAAUUGAACCCAUAAAGUAGAAACAGAGCAUAUUCUGAAUCAAAUCCGUUUGGAAUAUUACAUUUUCCAUGCACCAAAAGAAAAAAAAAACAAAAUUUGAGAAAAACCCAAAACCCAGAAAGAAAAAUAGAGAGUGGGUUUAAAUCUACAAUAUGUGGAAAAUAGAAACCGAGAUGCAUAAAGUAGGAUAUGAACAUUGCUUUGUAAAAUUUGGAGGAAAUUCAUGAGGAAAAUGAAGGGAGAUCAGAAUCUGUGAAGAAAAUAUUUGAAGGAAAUCUGAGAAACAGGGGGGGUUGAAAAUGAUUUUACCUUGAAAAUCUUUGACGCAUUUGACAAUCUUAGUAGCACAGCCCUCACAGUGCAUGUCAACCUUCAACACAACGGGGAUGGGGCCGUCCUCCUUCUUCUUCUCACCCCCAGCGCCGCUGUUCUUCUCACCUCCAUCGCCGUUCUUCUUCUCAGCCACAUCGUUGUUGUUGUUCUCACCGCCACUUUUGUUCUUCUUCUGCAUUAAACACAAAAAACAAACACAAAACCCAUUAAGCAAACGCAAGAAUAGAGAGAAACAAAGGGCUAAACUAAAAUAUAGAGAAACAGAGAUGGAGGAAUUGGCUCUCACUCACCUUGGCCAUCGUGAAGUGUUUGGUUGGUUUUUUCUUUGUUUGUUCUGGUGUAAAUUGUGAGUGGAGAGAGUAAGGAAAUGUGGUAAGGCCAGUGGGUGGGUGGGUAUUUAAAGGCGGAGAGAGAGAGAGAGAGAGGGUGAGUGAGUUUCGGAGUCAGUUGUGGUGUUCCUCAAGCGGUUUAUGAUGGCGAUGAUGGCGGUUGCGUAUGAUGUUGAUGUGCACAUAUAUAUCAUGUAUGGUGGUUUAGGCAUUCUCACAUACAUAUGAUGUGCGUGUGAGCCGUGUGGCUUAUCAUUAUCACGCGUAGUAGUCAAGGGAAAUGAAAAGAAACUUCCUUGUAAAGUUGUAAUUUUGGUGGAAGGUGAGGUUGGGUUGCGGGCUGCUGCUGGUUCAAAAGCUGAGAAGGGUUUUUGGGUGUCAUAACCAAUAGGCCCAUAGACACUUGGCUCUUUCUGGGGUUGUCAUUUCUGUCGACCCACCUCGGCUUUUCAUAACUUGGCUUUGGCUUUUUCCCUUCUUUUUUCGUUCUGCUAAAUUAUUCCAUUCCACCUACAAAACAGACAUUUUCCAAUUUAAAUAAAAUAAAUCAGUCCCGAUCUGUUCAAGAGAUUGUAUUCAUCCACUGUUGAAUAUUAAUUUAAUAGUUAAAAAAAGUUUCUUAAAAGGAGUGCAAGAGUGAGUGAACUAUUGAAUUUACAUCCAACGGUGAGUGACCACAAAUCUCUUAGAUCCCUAUUGUCCAAGAAAUCAGGACUGUAAAAUAAACCAAUAUACACAAUUUAAAUUAAUUUCUUACAAAUGUAAGAAAGAAGAUUUGUGAAGUAAAAGGGGAAAUUUGUUUCUCUCUCCAGUUCGUCCUAGACUUUCGUUGAAAUUCCACCAUGUUUUUAUUUCGUCUUUCAUAUGAUUUGAGAAUUUAGUUUGGUUUGGUUAAAUAUUUUUUUUUUAAAUUUUAAUUAUUCCGAUUCGAUUCGUACUGUAAUGUUUAGUUUGAUUAACGGAAAUAAUAUUCUUAAUCCAACGGAAACCCGUACCGAUUCAUUUAUCACUAUUGUAUCACUUCUUUAUCAUCCGGGUUCUGUAGCACUUUUUGGUCAAAGAGGAAUUUAUGAACUUUCUAUGUUUUUCAGUUUCAAUCUUUGUCCCAUUUUUUACCUGUAACUUUCCAACUGUUGAUCCAAAUUUGAUGUUCUUUAUAUGGUUGGAUUCAGCAUGAAAAACUAAAGAACCCCGCUUGGAACAAAUGUCAAAAUCAUUUAUAUAAAUACAGAGAAUUCAGUAAAAAGAACACUCAAACAUUCAAAAAACCAACACAAGUGGCUCCCAGUACAUCUUGAGUACAUAUUGAAUGAUAUCAUGACUAAGUUAUUUGAUUUCAUACUUGGAUGGAUUAGACUAUUGGAUUUUUAUAUUUGACAAGGAUAAUUUGGUGUAUUUGUUCAAAAACUUAUGUUAUGUGAAAGUAUUAUAAAUUGUACUUUUAUUAGUAUGUUUUUAUUACGGUACUACCGGCGUACCGAAUCAAUCUGAAUAGAAUAUUAGGUUAACCAAUCCGAGGUCUACUGAAGUCUUUGGUUUGGUUAACAGAAGAGAAAAUAGUCUACCGAAAUCUUUGAUUUGGUUAAUGAAAGAGCCCUCUAUCAUUUCGAAUCAAUCCGUGCGUAGGCCUAGAUUUGAGGAAUGAAAGAUGUAGAGGCCCACAUUAAUUGGCCCAAAUAUUUCAUCGGGCUCAAUGUGAGAACCCCGUGACCAAAUGGAAUCGAUUUUGGUGACUAGGGCUGGGCAUGGUUGGGGUUGAUUCCAUUUUGAGUCGUACCGAAAGCUGAAUUGGUUAGCUAAGAAGCCUUCAAACCAACCACAUCGAUUAUCGAGAUUGGUGAGUUCGUUUGGUUUUGUUUCAAUUUGGGCUAGUGUUUUUCUUUUUUACUAAAACAACCCUUAUUGGGCCCAAAGAAAGACAAUUCCAAUCCAUAACCAUAACAUUCAUCAUUAAAUCUGUAUCUUCCCAACAUGCAUCAUAAAACAAGUUUCUAUCCUUCAAAUUUCAAAGCAUUCAUCAUCAACCUGCGGGCUAGGUUGCUCAUUCUUAGGCAUCUCGUACGGAUGAUUAGUUCUUGAUGCAUGGGUUAAGGGAUCACAAGAGGUCACCCUACAGUAACAAUGUCAGAAUCCACCAGUAAUCUGAAGUCCAUCAGAAAAUAGAAAAAAAUCUAUGAAUUUUAUUGAAAAUAUGAAUAAACUCUGAAAUACAAUUUUGACUUAAAUAGAAAACCAAGAAAGCCUAAAACUGUAGGAAACCCUAAGUUCCAAAAUAUUUCUAAAACUUAACUAGCAAAAAAAUAAUAAAUAUCCUAGUUAAAAGCAUAUCGGGAAAAUAAUAUCCUACUUCUUAUAAAUUAAAUAUAAAUUGUGCAUCAUUGACGCUCCAAACUUAAUCAAACAACUCAAAAAUCCCAACGAUACGCCUUCCGUCUUUUAAUAUGUUAUUAGGGCCAAACAACUUCAUAAUUGAUAUUUGACUGCAAUUUCAAACCAACUUAUUUUCUUUAUUUUCCUUAGUAAGAUUUACUGAUAUUUUGUCCUACAUUAGCCCCUUCACUGGUAAAGAACUCGACCUCAAGUUCUCCUGAAAACGAACCUGAGUAGGCACUAAACAGAAAACAAAAAAUUCAGAAAAGGUCUCAAAUCUGAAAAAAUAAAAUAAAAAUACAUACCUCUACAUCAAUGCAAGCUCUAAUCCACCUUCAAAAACCACAAGAAACUCUAAAACCUUCAACAAAACGAUGGCACACUAAAAGAACCUCAACUCUUACAAAAAAUUGAAAAGAGAAAUCGCCACUAAAAGGAAUUGAAAAGAGAGCACAGAACAAGUGUUGAGAUAGAGACUUGAAAAGAGGUUAAGUAUUCACAUAGGAAGCUGAGAGAGAAAAAGAAACAAGCAAAAGGAAAGGAAGGGAAAGGGCGCUAUUGAAUCUUUAUUUUUGUGUGAGCUGUGUGAAAUCGACGUAAGAAAUGGAUAAGAUAAGAACAGUGCUGAAAGCGUGAAAUGCAUAACAGAGCAGAUGAGCAAACUGAAUUUGGGCCUCUUGAUUGAGCUCUUCUAAAACAAAAUAUAAAACGCAACCAAACGCAAAACAAAAAAUACUUCAUUUAUCAUAUCCUUAUUAGUAAAACAUCCCCAAAUUGCAGUAGUGACUGUGAACCGUAUGCAACUCAAAACGCAUGUAAAAAUAUAAACAAAAGAAGCCUCAUUCCUCAAACGCAUGAAUUGCCAUCCUCAUGUUCAUUUGGUCUGCCACUCUUUCUUAUGAUUAUUAAGAUCAAUCCCAUUUUUAUUCCCUAUGCCUUUUCCGUGUCCCUUGACUUUCUCUUUGCCUAGUCUUUGUCCAUCUUUGCCUUCUCCUUCUCCUUCUCUGUUCAAAUUUGCAACUAAAGAAGCAACAAAUGAUGGGUAUCCCUCCUUUGGUGGAUGGGAGAAAAAUAACGAGAGAACUUUGUAAGAAAUAGAAAUAAUAAAAAUAAAAUAAAGGAAAAAGAAAAUGGUAUACGGGAGAGUUUAGAAGAGAAAAUGGAUGAAAGAAAAAGCAUAGUUUUUUCUCCUUAAUGCAUGGCAUGUGAUGAUGCUUAUAAAAGGCACCAACCUUGUACGUUUCUGUCACCCUCAAGAAAAAACUAAAAGGGUUUUCUAGGUCAGAAAACAAAAGGGAGUUGGUCGAGGGAGAAUUUAAGAGAGGGUAUAUCUCUUGGGUGUGAGCAGUGGCGGAUCCAUUAAGGCGCAAGGAGGUGCAGCACCUCCCCUCGUCGGAAAAAUUAUUGUAUGUGCUUCAAAUUGUUCCUUUACUCAACUGGUGUACAGAUUACCUUAUUUCUAUUUUCAACAUUUAAGUAAAUGUCUUUGUCCUUUUACUUUCAUUUAUUUUUAUAUUACUCCAUUUACUUAAGUUAACUAUGUAAAUAAGGAAGUACCCCCCAUUUGGAUUCAAAUAAAAUUACUGGAAAAUCAAAUUCCCACCAAAUCAAAAUAUGAAAAAUCGGUUUUAGUGCAAAAUACGAUUUAGGCUAAAAAUGAUGGCUCAUUAAGUCAAUAUAUACUUCAUACUAAAAUCUCAUAAAAUCAAGUUUUCUUAUUUGAUGUGUAAGGAAUAAAAGCCGCCAAAAAUUAUCUUGAGAAAAUGAUUAUUCCGAAAAACUAUUUUUCAUACUUAGUCAAUAUUGCACCUCCGUUAAAAAAAUUCUAGGUACGCCAGUGGGUGUGAGUGUGGUAUUCACAGGUUAGAGAGAGGGUGUACAAAGGGUGUAUGAUGUUGGAUACGGGCUCGGGUUGGGUUAUAGGACUCUUGAGCGGUGUUAUUUUUGUACUUCUAUUUUUCUCUUGUUAUAGUGAAAGUGAAAACACUCUGUGGAUGUAGGCAUAUUGUUGAACUGCGUAUAAUUAACCUGUGUGUUCUCAUUUGUUUUUACGUAUUGUAAUCUCAGUUUAUUUUUAUUUUCGUCAAUUAAUUACCAUGAUCAAGAGGAUUAAAUUCCUACUUCUUACCUCACUUCCGAUUCGUAUGAGCAUAUUCUUACUACAAUGUUGUAUAUGGUAAAGAUACUCUGAAAAUGGAGGAGGUCGAGGCAACUCCCUUGUCACAUGAGAAGAGGAAAAAGGUUGGAGAUUGCAAGAGUUCUGUCUUUGUUGCUCAUGGUCAGAAUCAAAGAGGAAAACAUACUAUAAAGGGAUCUACUAGCAGCAGCAUGUCUAAAUCCAGAGGAUUAAAUUAAUUACCUUGAGGGCAUGUUUACGUAUCAGUAAUGGAGAAAGUAAGGAAUCAGAUAAUUUAGGAAUCGGGGAACUACUGAAUCGGUAUGGGAAGAAUCAUUCCCAUUAAGCUGUUUACUAAACAUACGAAAUUAGUAAAGGAAUGGGGUUGAUUCCCAUUGUUAUUGUUUCCGAAUUUUCAUAAAUCAGAAUCCAAAUUAAUUUGAUUACUAAAAUGCCCUACACAUUUUCACCACAUCACAUAUAUAAAAUUCACCCAAAACCUAAAGCUAUAGGAAAAGGGGUUUUGAAUUAAUCAGUAAGAGGGAAUCCGUUAUCAAAGAAAAUUAUCAGCAAUUUAUUCUGAACCAAAAGCUAGACAAGCUAACCUGGCUAAGAAAUCUUUGAUCAAGUGAGAUAAAAUUCACAAAAGAAGUCACCUAAGGGCUAAGCAGUUGCAAAGAGCACAUCCAAAACUAACAUAAGCAAAUAAAAUUCACAAAAUAAACUCCAAUAAAUAUUUAUCUUUCACCUACGUAACUAGUAAAUAAUCAAAUAAUAAUAAUUUGCAUAAUCUUCAUACGAUUAAAUACGAUUAAAUAUAUUAUCUAUGCAAAAAAUCACUUAUGUAUACUUAAUGGCGUGUAUUUUUAUUUUUUUUAGGGUUUGAGUUAUUUUGGAAUUAUAGUAAAGUGGUAAGGGUAUUUUUGGAAGUUAAUAAGAGAAAGCAGGAAUGGGAAUCGUAUCGACUAGUCCCCCCUAGUCGAUCUGAUACCUAGUUUUGAGGGAAUGUGAUUACGGAUUUUGAGGUGGGGCCCACUUAUUUUUUCAUUCCUGAUUGCAAGUAAACGCAGGGGAAGUCAGGAAUGGAAAUCAUUCCCUUUCCUCUCAUACCCAUUACUGAUACGUAAACAUGCCCUGAAGGUGAAAACACUCUGUGGAUGUAGGCAUAUUGCUGAACUAUGUAUAUCAUGUGUGUUCUCAUUUGUUUUUACAUACUGUCAUCUCAGUUUAUUUUUAUUUCCAUCAAUUAAUUACCGUGAUCAAGUGGAUUAAAUUCCUAUCAAGUGGUAUCAAAACUGUGGUUUGGUGACAACGGUUGUUCGUCGAUCAUGGUGAUUAUUUUACAAUCGCGGUUUUAUCAUGGCGGGGACCCUUGCCUCACACUUUAAGGUGGAGCAAUUUGAUGGUCCCAGCAAUUAAAGGGGCUCAUACAAAUCCUUGCAGUAAAGGAUGUCCUCCAUUCUUGGAUUCCAAAUGGAGUAAUUGGAUGCAGUCAAUUUUAACAUUGUUGCUGAUGAUGAUGACGAUGACUCCUCCAUCUUAAAUUACACAAGAAUAUAAUUUUUGAGCCUAUUAUCAAUAAGUUAUUGGGAAAGAUUGCGAAAAAUCAAAGAGCCAAUAAAUAAAUAUGGCACUCGCAGGAUUUGACUUAUCCCAGCCUUGUGUAAAUAAAAUAGACAAAAUUAACACUCUAUCUUUCACUAAGAAAAAUAAUGGGAAUACAAAAAUAAUCUCAUCAAACACCAGUGGCUAAACUCUCUCUUGGUUUUUCUCUUAAGAGGAUUUUCUCUCACGCACAAGUGAGGUUUUCUUAUCUCUCAAAAGUCUCUAUGUUUUGGUUUUCUAAAGGAUGAUUUAAACUGAAGGAAGGCAGCUGCUUUUAUAGCCAACGUUCCUGACAAAUUUGUGGCCUUGCAUGCGACAGAGUUUUUCUCAUUUUCUCUUCCGUUCGUUUUCUUCAAAUUUUUCCCUCCUUUCUUUUAUUUUAUUUUAAUAUUCAUUUUCCUUCUUUUUCUCUCCUCCACUAACGAGGGAAACCCAUCAUAAGUUAUCAAUGAAGAUUCCACACCAACGUUGUGGGAGCAAUUAUAUAAGCUCUAUCUAGCCAAGAGCUUUGUUUAUACCAUAAUCAACCGAGCAUAUCCAACAUCAAAAUAACUGGCACCAAGGCAGACACCUUUCUCCCCUGCUAGAAUACCCCAAAGGGACACACAGACAAAUCCUUAGAAAGUGAGUGACGUUACCGUCUUCUAACAUGCCAAAGGAAGAUACUCUUUUGAAGCGGCAGCCAUCUGCCGAAGCUCCUGACUGCCAAACCUAAUUUCCAGGGACACGUGUCACCUCCACAGCAGGUUGCACAAAGUCCCACAUUGAAACUUUGUGCAAAACUCCCGCAGAAGAUCAGGCUCUCUUACUUUUUACCUAACUUCCUGAUUCGUAUGAGCAUAUUGUUACUACAAUGUUGUAUGGUAAAGAUACUUUGAAAAUGGAGGAAGUCGAAGCAACUUUGUUGUCACAUGAGAAGAGGAAAAAGGUUGACGAUUGCCAGAGUUCCAUCUUCGCUGCUCAAGGUCAGAAUUAAAAGAGAAGACAAACUGUCAAGGAAUUUAAUAGCUCAAAUAGGUCUAAAUCCAGAGAUGGUAGAAGAGAUAAGCAGUGCUACAAGUGUAAGGAAUGGAGCCACAUAAAGUGGGACUGUCCAACUUGGAAUAAGAAGAAUAGUAACGAGGAUAACUCAAUUAGGGCAAUAACACAAAAUUAUAUGGAUAUUGGUGGAGAUGAUCUCACAAUCUCCUCAGUUAACAUUUUCAGAAUCGACUAGUGAUUAUCGACUCGGUGAAGUUACACAUAAGCAUUAGCCGUUACGAAUCAAGGGGGAGUUUGGACGACAAAUUUGAUUCAUGUUAUGUGUAGCUGGUACAAGGAAAAGGCUAAAUGAAAGCGUUUUUGGUAUUUACAAAUGCUGUCUUAGGUUGAGACAAACUUCGAGAUUAAAAGUUAAGAAGAAGAGUCCUCCACCUAAGUUGAAAAUGGGAGAUUGAUGGGUAUCUCUCCUUUGGUGGAUGAGAGAAAAAUAAGGAGAGAAGUUUGUAAGAAAUAGAAAAAUAACAAAAAUAAAAUAAAGGAAAAAAGAAAAAUGGUGUACGGUAGAGUUUAAAGGAGAAAAUGGAUGGAAGAAAGAACAUAUUUUUUUCUCCUUAAUGCAUGGCCGUUAACAUGCAUGUGAUGCUGCUUAUAAAAGGCACCAACCUUGUGCAUUUAUAUCAUCCUCAAGCCAAAACUAAAAGGGUUUUCUAGGUCAUAAAACAAAGGGAGUUGGUUGAGGGAGAAUUUAAGAUAGGGUAUAUCCCUUGGGUGUGAGUGUGAUCUUCACAGGUUUGAGAGAAGGUGUACAAAGGGUGAUUAAUAUUGGAUACGGGCUCGGGUUUGGGUAUAAGACUCUUGAACGGUUUGUGUAUCAUAUCGUCAUAUCUGUUUAUUUUCAAUACGGUCAAUUUACUCAUAGACUUGUUUUUUUUAAUUAAAGCAAUUUUCAUUAGUGAUACGAUAAUGUGGUGUUAAUGACAUCACAAAACAGUUUUGACGAACUACCUAUUUUGUUUGCGGCAUCCACUCCAAUUUUUGUGGCCACGAUAGUAGCACCCUGCAGCAAAUUAAGACCAGAGGCAAGAAGUUUGCGGACGCCACCUAAAUUCAAUAAUUAAAUAACAAAGAUACUUAACCACCGAAAUUAAAUAACAAAGUUUGCCCACUUGUCAGUAAUUAAAUAACAAAGGUGCUUAACCAUCGAAAUUCAGAGUAGUAAAAAAAAUUUUAAUGACAAAAAAUUUAGGGAGAGGGAAGGCUACCCCAUCCCAAAAUCAGGGCAUAUUAAGGUUUUUGAGAACGUACAGAUGUUUUCUUUUAAGUUUACAAGAAAAACUAAACCCGAAAUUAUUUUGAGAUGAAAUCAUCUCUGUGCCUCCAAAAUUGUUUAGGGAAAAACUGAUGGGUUUCCCUCGUUAGUGGAGGAGAGAAAAAGAAGGAAAAUAAAUAUUAAAAUAAAAUAAAAUAAAGGACGGGAAAAUUUGAAGAAAACGAACGGAAGAGAAAAUGAGAAAAACUCUCUUGCAUGUAAGGCCACCAAUUUGUUAGGAACGUUGGCUAUAAAAGCAGCUGUCUUCCUUCAGUUCAAAUCAUCCUUUAGAAAACCAAAACAUAGAGAGUUUUGAGAGAUAAGAAAACCUCACUUGUGUGUGAGAGAAAAUCCUCUUGAGAGAAAAACCAAGAGAGAGUUUAGCCACCGGUGUUUGGUGAGAUUAUUAUUGUAUUCCCAUUAUUUUUCUUAGUGGAAGAUAGAGUGUUAUUUUUGCCCAUUUUAUUUACACAAGGCUGGGAGAAGUCAGAUCCUGGGAGUGCUAUAUUUAUUUAUUGGCUCUUUGAUUUUCACAAUCUUUCCCAACAAGGGGUAUUAGAGCUUCGGCUCAAAAAUUAUAUUCUUGUGUAAUUUAAGAUGGAGGAGUCAUCGUCAUCAUCAUCAGCAAAAAUGUUAAAAUUGACUGCAUCCAAUUACUUCAUUUAGAAGCCAAGAAUGGAGGAUAUCCUUUAUUGCAAGGAUUCGUAUGAGCCCCUUCAAUUGCUGGGACAAAAACCAGCAGAGAAGUCAACGAUGCAUGGAGCAUUCUGAAUAGAAAAGUUGUCAGACAAAUCCGACAAUGGAUGGAUCAGAGUGUGUUCCACCAUGUGGCACAAGAGACGGAUGCAUACAAAUUAUGGACAAAAUUGUUGUCCAUGUACGAGCGGAAGACCGCUCAAAAUAAAGCAUCAGUUAUCCGACGAUUGGUAAACCUUAAGUGACUUCCAAGGUUUGAUCAACCUAUUGAUGAAUAUGAAGAUGGUGCUUGAUGAUGAGUUAUAAGCACUAAUGUUACUCAGCUCUUUGCCUGAUAGCUAGGAUACACUAAUAGUAUCCUUAAGCAAUUCAGCUCCUCAAGGCGUUCUUACAUUGGACAUAGUUAAAGAUAGCAUGUUUCAAUGAAGAAGCAAGGAGGAAAAAACAAGGUGUAGUAACCGAGUCAGAAGCCCUCGUCUCAGAGUAUCGUGGAAGAACUAACAAUAGAAAAUUUCACAGGCGAGACAAGUCAAAGGGCAAGUCAAGAGAUGGCUCGAGAGGAAGGUCCAAGACAAGAAAGGACCUAGAAUGUUACCAUUGUGACGAGAUAGGCCACGUGAAAAGAGAGUGCAGGUUGUUUAAACGAGAGCAAGAUAGAGGUAACAAAAAAAGUGAUGCUAGGCACACGACCGCAACUACCUCUGGUGGAAAUGAGGUAAUUAUUCUAUGUAGUGAUGGCUUCGUUAAUUUGUCCUCUCAAGAUACAUGCUGGAUAGUGGACUCUGGUGCAUCAUUUCAUGUCACCUCACGGAUGGACUUCUUUACAUCUUACACCAAUGGAGAUUUUGGUAAUGUGAGGAUGGGAAAUGACAAAUUGUCGAAGAGGAGAUAUUUCCCUUGAAACCAACACAAAUUGUCACUUGGUCCUCAAGGAUGUGAGACAUGUUCCAGACUUGCGUCUCAAUCUAAUUUCCACUGGAUUGCUUGACGAUGAAAGAUACGCCAAUGUCUUUGCUGAAGGGAAAUGACAACUCAGCAAGAACUCUCUUGUCCUAGCACGAGGGAAGAAGGAGAACACCCUAUACAUGACACAUGCAAAAGUCAGUAAUGGGUACGUAAAUGCUCUCGCAGAAGACUCAAUAGAGCUAUGGCAUAAACGGCUCGGUCACAUGAGCGAGAAAGGGCUGCAAAUUCUAGCCAAAAGAGAGGCAUUGACUGAGAUGAAGAAAGGCAUGCCUCUAAAAUCAUGCACUCAUUGCUUGGCUGGAAAGCAGUAUAGAGCUUCGUUUCAACAUGGUCAUGCACAAAGAAAACCCAAUGUAUUGGAUGUUGUGUACUCUGAUGUUUGUGGUCCUAUGACCACUAGUACUCUUGGUGGUGCAAGAUAUUUUGUUACCUUCAUUGACGAUCAUUCUAGGAAGGGAUGGGCUUACGCACUUAGAACAAAAGAUCAAGUGUAUGAAGUUUUCAAGCAGUUUCAUGCUAGCGUUGAACGAGAGACUGGUAGAAGCUUCAAAUGUAUUCGCACCGAUAAUGGAGGAGAAUAUAUGGGGGCAUUUAGAAACUACUGUAGAAGUAAUGGAAUCAGGCAUGAAAGAUCUGUUCCGAAGACUCCUCAGCAUAAUGACAUAGCUGAGAGAAUGAACAGAACAAUUGUUGAAAGAAUAAAAACAAUGUUAUCUCAUGCCAAACUGCCCAAAAGUUUUUGGGGUGAAGCUCUGAUGACUGCGGUUGAUCUACUCAACCUUUCUCCUUCAGCACCUUUGAAUGGUGAUGUCCCGAACAAAUUCUGGUCGGGAAAAGACGUUUCCUACAAUCAUCUAAAAGUUUUUGGUUGUAGAGCUUUUGUUCAUAUUCCUAAAGACGAGAGAUCCAAGCUCGACGCAAAGUCGAAAGAACGUAUCUUCAUGGGAUAUGAGAAUGAAGAAUUCGGUUACAGGUUAUGGGAUCCUGUAGCUAGAAAGAUUAUUAGAAGUAGAGAUGUUGUCAUCUUUGAAGAUCAGAACAUUGAAGACAUUCAAAGAUGUGAUAAACCUAAUAAUCCUAGAGAAUAUCCAACUAACUUAGAUUCAGUUCCUUCCCCAUUUGAGCACAAUGACGAGCGAGAUGAAUAAAAUGAUACUGAUAAUCUAGCUAGUGAUCCUAUUAUAAAUGAACCAGUUGAUGGUGACAUGAGUGAUGAUCAUACAACUGAUGGUAUAAUAGAUGAUGCAGCGGAUGAAGGGCUAGAAGCACCAGCCGAUGAAUAGCCAGAGGCCGAAUUCCAACUAAGAAGAUCGACCAGGGUACGGAGACCUCCGAGUAGGUAUUCUCCAGAUGAUUACGUUCUCCUAACAGAUGGGGGAGAACCAGAAUGCUAUAAAGAAGCAUUGACUCAUGAUCAACAAGAUGAGUGGUUGAAAGCCAUGCAUGAAGAGAUGCAAUCUCUGCAUGAGAACCACACAUAUGAUCUAGUGAACCUACCAAAAUGUGGAAUAGCACUCAAGAACAAAUGGGUGUAUUGACUGAAGACGGAAGAAAACAACUCUAAGCCCAGGUUUAAGGCAAGGCUAGUUGUGAAAGGUUUCAGUCAGAAGAAAGGAAUUGACUUUGAAGAGAUUUUCUCACCCGUAGUGAAGAUGUCAUCCAUACGGGUUGUACUCGGUUUGGCUGCAAGCCUGAAUCUCGAGAUCGAACAGCUAGAUGUGAAGACAGCUUUUCUUCACGGAGAUCUUCAAGAAGAAAUCUACAUGGAGCAGCCAGAAGGAUUCAAAGUCAAAGGAAAAGAAGAUUUGGUGUGUUGGCUGAAGAAGAGCUUAUAUGGACUCAAGCAGGCGCCUCGACAAUGGUACAAGAAGUUUGAUUUCUUCAUGAUUGAAUACAGAUAUCGAAGGACUACUUCAGACCAUUGUGUAUUUGUGAAAAUAUUUGAUGAUGGUGAAUUCAUCAUACUUCUUCUCUAUGUCGAUGACGUGUUGAUCGUAAGACAAAACAGUGACAAUAUUAGCAAGCUGAAGAAAGAGUUGAGCAAGUCUUUUGCUAUGAAAGACUUAGGACUCGCAAAACAAAUCCUCGGUAUGAGUAUAUCCCAUGAUAGAAAAAAUCGGAAGUUAAGGUUAUCACAAGAAAGUUAUAUCGAGAAGGUACUAAAGCGGUUUAACAUGGAUAAAGCAAAACCAGUUUCUACUCUAUUUCCUAGUCACUUCAAGCUUAGUUCAAAGCAGAGUCCCACAUGUGAGAAAGAAAAAGAAAACAUGGCUAUGGUGCCAUAUUCCUCAGUUGUUGGUAGUCUGAUGUAUGCAAUGAUUUGCACGAGGCCAGACAUAACGCACGCAGUUGGCGUUGUAAGCAGAUUCGUGUCUAAACCAGGCAGAGAGCAUUGGAAUGCUGUGAAGUGGAUUCUCAGAUAUCUCAGGGGUACUUCCAAAAUGAGUUUGUGCUUUGGAGGUGGAAAACCUGAAUUGAUUGGCUACACAGAUGCAGACAUGAUAGGAGAUCUUGAUUCCAGAAAAUCUACUUCAGGAUACCUGAUUACAUUUUCAGGGGGAGCAGUUUCAUGGCAAUCAAAGUUACAGAAAUGUGUUGCUCUAUCAACUACAGAGGCAGAGUUUAUUGCAGCUACUGAAGCAUGCAAAGAAAUGCUCUGGAUGAAGCGAUUCCUACAAGAAUUAGGCCAAGAGCAGCACAAAUACAUUUUGCAUUGCGAUAGUCAGAGUGCGAUCCAUUUGGGCAAGAAUCCGAGUUUUUCACUCGAGGUCGAAGCACAUUGAUGUGAGAUAUCACUGGAUACGUGAUAUGUUGGAGUCAAAGCAAUUACAGCUUGAGAAAAUCCAUACUGAUGACAAUAGUUCAGAUAUGAUGACCAAGUCCUUACCUAAGGACAAGUACGAAUUUUGCAAAAGAGCAGCUGGACUGCUGGAGCCCUCCACCUAAGUCAGGAGGGGGAGAUUGAUGGGUUUCCCUCGUUAGUGGAGGAGAGAAAAAGAAGGAAAAUAAAUAUUAAAAUAAAAUAAAAUAAAGGACGGGAAAAUUUGAAGAAAACGAAUGGAAGAGAAAAUAAGAAAAACUCUCUCACAUGCAAGGCCACCAAUUUGUUAGGAACGUUGGCUAUAAAAGUAGCUGUCUUCCUUCAGUUCAAAUCAUCCUUUAGAAAACCAAAACAUCGAGAGUUUUGAGAGAUAAGAAAACCUCACUUGUGUGUGAGAGAAAAUCCUCUUGAGAGAAAAACCAAGAGAGAGUUUAGCCACCAGUGUUUGGUGAGAUUAUUAUUGUAUUCCCAUUAUUUUUCUUAGUAGAAAAUAAAGUGUUAUUUUUGCCCAUUUUAUUUACACAAGGCUAGAAAAAAUCAG